GAUGAACGCUGGCGGCGUGCCUAAUACAUGCAAGUCGAGCGAACAGAUGAGGAGCUUGCUCCUCUGACGUUAGCGGCGGACGGGUGAGUAACACGUGGAUAACCUACCUAUAAGACUGGGAUAACUUCGGGAAACCGGAGCUAAUACCGGAUAAUAUAUUGAACCGCAUGGUUCAAUAGUGAAAGACGGUUUUGCUGUCACUUAUAGAUGGAUCCGCGCCGCAUUAGCUAGUUGGUAAGGUAACGGCUUACCAAGGCAACGAUGCGUAGCCGACCUGAGAGGGUGAUCGGCCACACUGGAACUGAGACACGGGCCAGACUCCUACGGGAGGCAGCAGUAGGGAAUCUUCCGCAAUGGGCGAAAGCCUGACGGAGCAACGCCGCGUGAGUGAUGAAGGUCUUCGGAUCGUAAAACUCUGUUAUUAGGGAAGAACAAAUGUGUAAGUAACUAUGCACGUCUUGACGGUACCUAAUCAGAAAGCCACGGCUAACUACGUG
rnacentral:rRNA from 1 species